rnacentral:misc_RNA from 1 species
AAGCCUUAAAGGAGCAUUUCUAUUGGCCAAGUAUGAUGAAAGACGUGCACAAGGUAGUGGAGAAAUGUGUGGUGUGCAAGAAGGCUAAAGGCAAGGAGAUGGCGCAAAGGCUGUAUAUGCCUCUUCCUCCUAAUCACUCAUGGGAACAUGUGAGCAUGGAUUUUGUGCGUGGUUUGCCCAUAACUCAAAGGGGCAAAGAUUCCAU